GGCCGGUUGGCCCAAUGGUAAGGCGUCUGACUACGAAUGUGUAUAAUUCGGCUAAUCAGGAGAUUCUGGGUUCGAGCCCCAGGCUGGUCA
rfam:Pseudozyma hubeiensis SY62 DNA, scaffold: PHS66.